rnacentral:snRNA from 1 species
CCUCUUUUGAGGGAAAAUGGGUA